CCUACGGGUGGCAGCAGUGAGGAAUAUUGGUCAAUGGGCGAGAGCCUGAACCAGCCAAGUCGCGUGAAGGAUGACGGCCCUACGGGUUGUAAACUUCUUUUGUCAGGGAGCAAUUGGGUCCACGCGUGUGCUUAGCGAGAGUACCUGAAGAAAAAGCAUCGGCUAACUCCGUCCCAGCAGCCGCGGUAAUACAGAGGAUGCGAGCGUUAUCCGGUUUUAUGUGGUUUAAAGGGUGCGUAGGCGGAAGAUAAAGUCAGCGGUAAAAAUGCGGGGCUCAACCCCGUCGUGCCGUUGAAACUGAUGUACUUGAGGGGGCGAGAGGUAUGCGGAAUGAGUGGUGUAGCGGUGAAAUGCAUAGAUAUCACGCAGAACUCCGAUUGCGAAGGCAGCAUACCGGCGCGCAACUGACGCUGAAGCACGAAAGCGUGGGUAGCGAACAGGAUUAGAUACCCUGGUAGUC
rnacentral:rRNA from 1 species